AGCGAACGUUAGCGGCGGGCCUAACACAUGCAAGUCGAACGAGAAAAUCCCUUCGGGGGUGAGUAAAGUGGCGCACGGGUGAGGAACGCGUAGGUAAUCUACCGUUUGCGGGGGACAACACUCCGAAAGGAAUGCUAAUACCGCGUAAGACCACGCUUACUAAGGUGAGAGUGGUAAAAGGUGGCCUCUUCUUGAAAGCUACCACCAGACGAUGAGCCUGCGUCCCAUCAGCUUGUUGGUAAGGUAACGGCUUACCAAGGCGAAGACGGGUAGCUGGUCUGAGAGGAUGAUCAGCCACACUGGCACUGGAACACGGGCCAGACUCCUACGGGAGGCAGCAGUGAGGAAUAUUGGGCAAUGGGCGAAAGCCUGACCCAGCCACGCCGCGUGUGUGAUGAAGGCCUUCGGGUCGUAAAGCACUGUGGGGAGAGACGAAAAAUCUCCGUUCGAAUAGGGCGGAGACUUGACGGUACCUCCUUAGCAAGCACCGGCUAACUCUGUG
rnacentral:rRNA from 1 species